rnacentral:rRNA from 1 species
GGGCCCGCACAAGCGGUGGAGUAUGUGGUUUAAUUCGAAGAUACGCGCAGAACCUUACCAACACUUGACAUGUUCGUCGCGACUUUAAGAGAUUAAAGUUUUCGGUUCGGCCGGACGAAACACAGGUGCUGCAUGGCUGUCGUCAGCUCGUGUCGUGAGAUGUUGGGUUAAGUCCCGCAACGAGCGCAACCCUCACUUUUAGUUGCCAUCAUUUAGUUGGGCACUCUGAAAGAACUGCCAGUGAUAAGCUGGAGGAAGGUGGGGAUGACGUCAAGUCCUCAUGGCCCUUACGUGUUGGGCUACACACGUGCUACAAUGGUAUCUACAACAGGAAGGCAAAACAGCGAUGUUAAGCAAAUCCUUAAAAGAUACUC